rnacentral:rRNA from 1 species
GCUGGGGGAUAACCUCGCGAAAGUGAGAACAAUACCCCAUGGGUCACUAUGCCUGGAACGGUUAGUGGCUGAAAGCUCCGGCGGCACAGGAUGGGUCUGCGGCGUAUCAGGUCGUAGGGGGUGUAACGUACCUCCUAGCCUUCGACGCGUACGGGUUGUGAGAGCAAUUGCCCGGAGAUGGAUUCUGAGACACGAAUCCAGGCCCUACGGGGCGCAGCAGGCGCGAAAACUUGACAAUGCGAGAAAUCGUGAUCAGGGGACUCCAGUUGGCUGGAUCAAAAGUCCAGUCUGAACCGACUUUAAAUCGGUCGGGUAAUAGGGGCGGGAAAGACCGGUGCCAGCCGCCGCGGUAAUACCGGCGCCCCAAGUGGUCGUCACUAUUAUUGGGCCUAAAACGUCCGUAGCCGGUUUGGUAAAUCCGUGGGUAAAUCAGACAGCCCAACUGUCUGAAUUCUGCGGGGACUGCCAGACUUGAGACCGGGAGAGGUGCGGGGUACUUGCGGGGUACCGGUAAAAUGGGAUCAUCCCGUAGAGACCACCUGUUGCGAAGGCGCCGCACUAGAACGGAUCUGACGGUCAGGGACGAAGCCUAGGGGCACGAACCGGAUUAGAUACCCGGGUAGUCCUAGGUGUAAACGCUGUGGACUUGGUGUCGGGGACCUUCUGAGGGUUUCCGGUGCCGGAGUGAAGAUGUUAAGUCCACUGCCUGGGGAGUACGGUCGCAAGGCUGAAACUUAAAGGAAUUGGCGGGGGAGCACCGCAACGAGAGGAGCGUGCGGUUU